GCGGGUUUACGACCUCGAUGUUGGAUCAGGGUAUCCCAGUGGUGCAGCCGCUACUAAAGGUUCGUUUGUUCAACGAUUAAAACCCUACGUGAUCUGAGUUCAGACCGGAGUAAUCCAGGUCAGUUUCUAUCUAUAAGGGGCUUUUUCUAGUACGAAAGGACCGAAAAAACAUGGCCCAUGCAUAAUACAAGCCAUACUAAAUAAUUUAUGAUUAAAACUCAAUAAAUACUUAACCCACCCCCUAACUCUAAACAAGAGUAGUU
rnacentral:rRNA from 1 species